CCUACGGGGUGCUGCAGUCGAGAAUCAUUCACAAUGGGGGAAACCCUGAUGGUGCGACGCCGCGUGGGGGAAUGAAGGUGUUCGGAUUGUAAACCCCUGUCAUGUGGGAGCAAAUUAAAAAGAUAGUACCACAAGAGGAAGAGACGGCUAACUCUGUGCCAGCAGCCGCGGGAAUACAGAGGUCUCAAGCGUUGUUCGGAAUCCCUGGGCGUAAAGCGUGCGUAGGCUGUUUCGUAAGUCGUGUGUGAAAGGCGCGGGCUCAACCCGCGGACGGCACAUGAUACUGCGAGACUAGAGUAAUGGAGGGGGAACGGGAAUUCUGGGUGUAGGAGUGAAAGGGGUAGAUAUCGAGAGGAACACUCGGGGCGAGGGCGGGUUCCUGGACAUUAACUGAGGCUGAGGCACGAAGGCCAGGGAGCGAAAGGGAUUAGAUACCCGGGUAGUC
rnacentral:rRNA from 1 species